rnacentral:lncRNA from 1 species
CGCCACCGACGUCGGACAAGCAAUGAGAGAUACGAACGGAUAAGCACUCUCUCGCUCCCUCGACUCCGGACUCAAAGAUCACCUCUUCGCUUCGCCUACGAAGGGCAAAAGAUUACCCCGUGGUAUCAGUAGGGUAAAACACUUGAGCACCGCAACGGAUUAUCAAAGAUCAAAGAAAGGAGAAGGAAGAAAAUAGCAAA